CUGCCCCUGCCUUGUGAGAGUGGGGGCUGUGGUUAGAGGUGAAGGCCAGGAGCUGUGGGGAUUUUUUGUGUUAUCUUUCCCGCGUCCACAGGGUGGCACUUGCUUCCUUCCGCCUUUUGUCUUGGGAAGGUUCCAAAAUGCCUCUGGGGGCGCAAGCUGAAAAGGCCCUACAGGAAGCAGCCAGGGCUGCACGCGGGAGGUCGAUAAUUGGUUGAUUGACUGAUGGCAAGCUCAGCCGUGUGGCAAACAGGACAAAUGAACUUGAAUGGUUUGCACAUAGGAGGGGCCAGGAAGAGGCUGGAGGGCUCUGAGAGGGGAGAGGAGACCGGAUUGAAUGUAUGGGAGAGGCCACGGUUGACGGAAGUUUCUGGAAUCUGGCCUGGGUGGUUUCCUGCUAAAGGAGUAGUCACUUCAAUCCUUCGUUCUCUCCCUCCCCCCGCCCCCACCAUGGCGUUGACUAUGGCACAGGCGGGCGAGAGUUAGAGCUUUGUGACAAAUAAGGAUAAAUAUGUCAACAGGAUUAACUCAUCUACUCACAAUGGCCUCUUGAAGACGGGACCAAGACCAGCACCCACUUUACAUGUGGGAAGGAUGCCCGCCCCCUUGCCUUUCUCUAUUGCCAGUCUGGGAGGGUCACCAUGGAGGUGAUCCUCUCUGGCUGUGGUUCUCUGGGCUCAGAAUGAUGUCCCUUAGUGAAAGGCGUGGAUGUCACCCAGGAUGGGGUGGUUGGCGGAAGAAGCUGCUCCCCCAAGCCUGAUGCUCCAUCUCUUGUCCUCUGCUGCCACCCGCCCCCAGCCCUGGCAUCCCAAACCACAGCUGCCUGCGCUUGGACACUUCUCUCUUCUGGGACUUCAGGUCUGGGCUCACAUGACAUCUCCCUAGGCCUCCUACAAAGCCUGCUCUCAACAGCAACAGCAUUUGUCACUAACUGAAAUGACCUCAUUCAGGUCAGGGUCAAGUGCACAAGCUCAGGAUCCAGUUUGAAUCCCAGCUCUGCCACUCAUCAGCUGCGAACCCUUAUACAAACGGCUUGGCCUCUCUGUGCCUCAGUUUCUUCACCUGUAAGAAAACAAGAGCCGGGCACAUAGCACCUGCUUGACCCCAGGUGUCACGGCCCGAAGGAGGGCUGGCAGGUCAGAUGCGCAGUCCACACUUCUGAGUCAGUCAGGGAGGCCACCUGGGGGUCUUGGGGCCACCGUGAGGGAGGCCGGUGCAGGCCACAUAUGGAGAGUCUCUGAAAACCCAAGGACUGUUGUGUUGAUGCCCCAGGACCAGUCCUCCCGGCCUCUCCUUGGCCUCGCUCACCGGACUCGUCAGAGGUCCAGGGGGAGGGGCUUACCUCGACUCAAUACACCCUUCACUGUUGUACCCAGACACACUACCUAUCAGCCAGGUCAGCCAGGUGUGCAGAUAUCUGACCCCCAGUCACAAACCAAUAAUGACCUAAGUAUCUAGAACCUCUCCACCUGCUUGUCACCCUUUAGAGCUUGACCAAGUAUAGGCAUGAGUUCUAGUCCUUGCUUGGUCUCCUUCUGCGUGACCUUGAACAAGGAGCCGCUGCCUCAGAGGCAAUGUCUCAACUGAAAAGCCAAAAUGCUCCUCUAGGGACCCUAGGGCCCCACUGCUGGGGUUCAGACUCCAGGGGCAUCACUGUCCUAUGACUUUGGGCAACUGCCUAAACCCUGCCAUGCCUCAGUUUCCCCGUCUGUAUAAUAGAUACUGCUCAUCGGCUUGGGAUAGUGCUGGGCUUGUGCCGGCCCUGAAGAGAUGCAAGAUUAGAAAUACAGGCGGAGUGUGGGGUUGCAGUCAGCUCUGCAGUCUGGUGACCUGGGUCUCCAUUCCCUGGUCCUGGAGACAUGAAUCUUGCUCUUUCCUCAACAGAGCUGGGCCUAGUGGUCAGCAUGACUCUGGCCAGCUUCCAGAAUUCAGGAAAGAGCUGGUGGCUGCCAAUGGAGCAGCUCUAAGAGGGAGAACAGGCAGGGGUGGGGGCGUGGGCUGGAGGCUGCCCCGAGGCUAUCCCGCUGGCUGUCCCAGGCAUCAGGCCAGCACUGGGCAGUGAGUCAGGGCCCAGGCAUGUGGAGGGUCAGGGCCUCUCCCGGCUCCUGUGAGCUCAGGCACCUCCCUGAACCCUCUGAACCCACCCACUCACCAGGCCAUGUUUUUCCUGCACUUGCUCACUCCUUUGGGUCAGUCCCUGGGGCUGCCUGGAGAAACUGGGGGAUGGAGCUUGGGGAGAUGGGGAAACGGGUGGUGGGGGGGAAUGGACGGGUGGACACAGCCCCUAAGCUUGGGUUCAUGCAGCAUCCCUAAAGGGACCUUAUUCUCAUUGGGGAGAGCUCCAGGCAAGCUCAGGUCCCCUUGGCUGGCUUCCAGAACAAAGCCAGGCAGGCAUUUGCUUGGGGAGGGCGGCCAGGCCCAUGGGGCAUAGAUAAGGCUCUUCUGUGGCAGAACCCACCCACCACAGGUUCCUCCCCCAGGCCUCUGGGUCUGGGGUGGGAUGAGGGACAUUGUCUCUUCUCCCAUUCUGGACUCUUCAGCUGGGCUAGCUCUGGCAAGUCCUCGGGGCCUGCCAGGCCUGGGGGUACACUCCUGGCACCUUCACCCACACAGAUGAGCAGGUGAAGGCCAGGGUGACAGCUGUUACUGAGCUGACCACGGGCCAGCGCCUGGCUGGUUUUUGGCUGAGGCCACAAGGCAGCUGGGCAGCUUUGUGAGUGAGGCUCCCUCCGGGGAGACAUCUGUAGAUGUCACAUCUGAGGGGACAUUCCUGACAUCUAGGGGGGUGAAGGCCAGGGUGUUGCUAAAUGUCCUCGUGUCCAGGAUUGCCCCCACCACAGAGCACAACUGGCUCCAGUGUCAUCAGGGCUGAGGUGGGAAACCCUGGUUUAGGCCAACGGUACAUGUGGGGACUCUGCUCCCAUUUCACACCAUAAGACUCUACCGACCUGGAACAUGAGCAGCGCAGGGCUGUGUGGACAUUUGCGUGAACACGUAAAGCAGGGCCCUGGCAUUAACACAGGGCCCCGGAGGCUCUGGGAAUCUGUGGGCCAAAGGGACUGGGGCUUCUCACACCUCAGGGGCAGACGACCAAGCCCUCUUUUCGGGUCUAUCUUCCUGGAGUGUGACAGGCAGACUUCCUCUCCCUGGGACCGCCAAGGGUCACCGGAACGGACUGUUUUUAGAAUGUCCCUCUCUGAUUAAAAACAUUUUUUUGUGCUUAUUGUAAACAACUCCGUUGGCCAGAGGUGCGUGAAAUCCAACACUCAGAGGUUCAUGCAACUAGUCUACUGGUUCCGGGCAAGGGGGUGGCAGGUAUCAGUGAGAUUCUACUUCCCUUCCUGCUCCCUGAGGCAGGCUGGCUGCCACAAGCCUCCCACUUAGCAGAACCCAAAUCACUGAAGGCAAGAGUGAGAUGAACACAUCGGCUGGCUGGUCCUGGCCUAGGUUGCGUGCUGAGUCAGGGUUUAUUUUGGCUGUUUGUGAUAGAAACACAAAAAUAACAAUGGCACACACAAGAUAGUUCGCUCC